rnacentral:rRNA from 1 species
GCUAGGAUGAACGCUGGCGGCGUGCUUAACACAUGCAAGUCGAACGAUCGAAGCCCAGCUUGGCUGGGUGGAGUUAGUGGCGAACGGGUGAGUAACACGUGAGCAACCUGCCCGAACUUCGGGAUAACAGUUGGAAACAGCUGCUAAUACCGGAUAUGCACUUGAACCGCAUGGUUACUUGUGGGAAAGAUUUUUCGGUUCGGGAGGGGCUCGCGUCCUAUCAGCUUGUUGGUGAGGUAAUGGCUCACCCAAGGCGUCGACGGGUAGCCGGCCUGAGAGGGUGACCGGCCACACUGGGACUGAGACACGGCCCAGACUCCCACGGGAGGCAGCAGUGGGGAAUAUUGCACAAUGGGCGCAAGCCUGAUGCAGCAACGCCGCGUGAGGGAUGACGGCCUUCGGGUUGUAAACCUCUUUUAGUUGGGAAGAAGCCUUCGGGUGACGGUACCUUCAGAAAAAGCACCGGCUAACUACGUGCCAGCCGCCGC